GAUGAACGCUGGCGGCGUGCCUAAUACAUGCAAGUCGAGCGAACAGACGAGGAGCUUGCUCCUCUGACGUUAGCGGCGGACGGGUGAGUAACACGUGGAUAACCUACCUAUAAGACUGGGAUAACUUCGGGAAACCGGAGCUAAUACCGGAUAAUAUAUUGAACCGCAUGGUUCAAUAGUGAAAGACGGUUUUGCUGUCUCUUAUAGAUGGAUCCGCGCCGCAUUAGAUAGUUGGUAAGGUAACGGCUUACCAAGGCAACGAUGCGUAGCCGACCUGAGAGGGUGAUCGGCCACACUGGAACUGAGACACGGUCAAGACUCCUACGGGAGGCAGCAGUAGGGAAUCUUCGGCAAUGGGCGAAAGCCUGACGGAGCAACGCCGCGUGAGUGAUGAAGGUCUUCGGAUCGUAAAACUCUGUUAUUAGGGAAGAACAAAUGUGUAAGUAACUAUGCACGUAUUGACGGUACCUAAUAAGAAAGCCACGGCUAACUACGUG
rnacentral:rRNA from 1 species